GUUUCCAUCUUACCGGGCAGCAUUAGAUUGGCUUUGUAACAAGCACCAUGUGUUUCUAAUACUGUCAGGUAAAGAUGUCCUC
rfam:Daphnia magna strain Xinb3 scaffold03025, whole genome shotgun sequence.